AGUGAACGCUGGCGGUAGGCCUAACACAUGCAAGUCGAACGGCAGCACAGUAAGAGCUUGCUCUUACGGGUGGCGAGUGGCGGACGGGUGAGGAAUACAUCGAAUCUACUUUUUCGUGGGGGAUAACGUAGGGAAACUUACGCUAAUACCGCAUACGACCUACGGGUGGAAGCCGGGGAUCUUCGGACCUUGCGCGGUUGAAUGAGCCGAUGUCGGAUUAGCUAGUUGGCGGGGUAAAGGCCCACCAAGGCGACGAUCCGUAGCUGGUCUGAGAGGAUGAUCAGCCACACUGGAACUGAGACACGGUCCAGACUCCUACGGGAGGCAGCAGUGGGGAAUAUUGGACAAUGGGCGCAAGCCUGAUCCAGCCAUACCGCGUGGGUGAAGAAGGCCUUCGGGUUGUAAAGCCCUUUUGUUGGGAAAGAAAAGCAGCAGGUUAAUACCCCGCUGUUCUGACGGUACCCAAAGAAUAAGCACCGGCUAACUUCGUG
rnacentral:rRNA from 1 species